AUUGAACGCUGGCGGCAGGCCUAACACAUGCAAGUCGAACGAGUGGCGGACGGGUGAGUAAUGUCUGGGCAACUGCCUGAUGGAGGGGGAUAACUACUGGAAACGGUAGCUAAUACCGCAUACCAUCAGAUGUGCCCAGAUGGGCUUAGCUAGUAGGUGGGGUAAUGGCUCACCUAGGCGACGAUCCCUAGCUGGUCUGAGAGGAUGACCAGCCACACUGGCACUAGGACACGGACCAGACUCCUACGGGAGGCAGCAGUGGGGAAUAUUGCACAAUGUGCGCAAGCCUGAUGCAGCCAUGCCACGUGUGUGAAGAAGGCCUUCGGGUUGGAAAGCACUUUCAGCGAGGAGGCGUUACUCGCAGAAGAAGCACCGGCUAACUCCGUGCCAGCAGCCGCGGUAAUUC
rnacentral:rRNA from 1 species